CAACCGCGCAGUAGAGCGGACGGAUGAGAGUCGCGCUCCGCAAAUUUCGAGUACCGGGUUCUCAACCUCCCGGAUCCCGCGCUUCGGGUCCGCUACGUGGUGAAGCUCGACUUCCAGGGUGUACCCUGAGGCGGUUAUCGGUGGUUGUUGGAGGUGAUUGGCGGUAAUUGAAGGUGUUCGGAGUUGGACGAGGAGGAGGACGAGGAAGACAAGGAGAUAAAGGUGGACGAGGAUUGGUACUCAGUAAAAGGUAAGGUAGUUAUCGGUGGUUGUUCGAGG
rnacentral:lncRNA from 1 species